rnacentral:rRNA from 1 species
CUACGGGUCGCUCCAGUGGGGGAUAUUGCACAAUGGGCGAAAGCCUGAUGCAGCAACGCCGCGUGAAGGAAGACGGUUUUCGGAUUGUAAACUUCUAUCAGCAGGGAAGAAAAUGACUGUACCUGACUAAGAAGCCCCGGCUAACUACGUGCCAGCAGCCGCGGUAAUACGUAGGGGGCAAGCGUUAUCCGGAAUUACUGGGUGUAAAGGGUACGUAGGCGGUUCGUUAAGUCAGAUGUGAAAGCCCGAAGCUCAACUUCGGGACUGCAUUUGAAACUGAUGAACUAGAGUACAGGAGAGGUAAGUGGAAUUCCUAGUGUAGCGGUGAAAUGCGUAGAUAUUAGGAAGAACACCAGUGGCGAAGGCGACUUACUGGACUGUAACUGACGCUGAGGUACGAAAGCGUGGGGAGCGAACAGGAUUAGAUACCCUCGUAGUC